rnacentral:rRNA from 1 species
UGGGGAAUCUUGGACAAUGGGGGCAACCCUGAUCCAGCCAUGCCGCGUGAGUGAUGAAGGCCUUAGGGUCGUAAAGCUCUUUCGCCUGUGAAGAUAAUGACGGUAGCAGGUAAAGAAACCCCGGCUAACUCCGUGCCAGCAGCCGCGGUAAUACGGAGGGGGUUAGCGUUGUUCGGAAUUACUGGGCGUAAAGCGCACGUAGGCGGACCAGAAAGUUGGGGGUGAAAUCCCGGGGGCUCAACCCCGGAACUGCCUCCAAAACUAUUGGUCUAGAGUUCGAGAGAGGUGAGUGGAAUUCCAAGUGUAGAGGUGAAAUUCGUAGAUAUUUGGAGGAACACCAGUGGCGAAGGCGGCUCACUGGCUCGAUACUGACGCUGAGGUGCGAAAAGUGUGGGGAGCAAACAGGAUUAGAUACCCUGGUAGUCCACACCGUAAAACGAUGAAUGCCAGUCGUCGGGGUAGCAUGCUAUUCGGUGACACACCUAACGGAUUAAGCAUUCCGCCUGGGGAGUACGGUCGCAAGAUUAAAACUCAAAUGAAUUG